rnacentral:lncRNA from 1 species
GCCAUAUUCCUGGAUACCCUCUUCACAGUGAUUGGUCCAAGGUUGAGUAAUUGGCUCAAGUUGGGUCAGUCAGCAUUCUUCCCUGAAAUUUUUCAGUGUGAGAAUAUAAAGAAGUAGCUUAUUUCCCCUGUGGAUUUGGAGCCAGAAAGUGCUGGAGCCAUUUAUAGUCAAGUCUUUCACCAUGGGGAGGAACUGGAGCGAGGGCAGAAGGUGCAAGUGAAUUUUGGUGCGGUGUCAGUCCUUGGUUCCAGCUGUCUCUGAGGCCCACCUACACCCUUCUCUUCCUGCAGUUAUGAGAACUUUCCCAGAGAAACUUCUUUUUGCUUAAACUUGUAAGCAAAGGAAUCUUGACUAAGACAGAUACUUUGUUGAAUGUUUAUUGAGCAAUUCCAUCUGCCAAUCCCUGGGGAUACAACAGAGAAGACAUGGAUCCUUUCCUCUGAAAUGUCAUAGUGGCAGAGAAGACAACAGGCAGGUGAUGGGGGCUGCCACAGUCGUAGCGCAGAGCAGGCAUGCUCCACUUUGCUUAGGGGAGUCCACAGACGUCUCAUAGGAGGAAGAGGUGCCUACCCAGAGCCUUAGCCGAUCGAAUGCCUGCUGCACUGCUGAAGAGGAAACAGAGUCGUGGCCUCCGGGAGGGGGCUCAAACCUGUGACUGGUGCAUGUUCGCCAUUAGACACACUGGCUGGUGACCAGCAGCCCCACCUACAGAAUUCCCUGGAAUGAGGAAUGGCAUUCCUGAGACCACUCAGCAGAGACUACCUCAAAAGGCGCUGCUCAAUGCCAGGAAAUGCAGCGAGAGAAAAUCCCCUUCCGGUGCCACCUCUGUGGCCAGCACACAGGUCCCCUGCUCAGCGGGUGUGUGUAGACGUGCCCUCAGGAAGCUCAGCCCAAGGCCCUCUGGAAGUGGCCACAGCUGGACCACACGGAACUCAUCCACUGCUUCUUUGGAGCUCCAGGAAAGCGCCAGAAGAGGGGCACUGAGGCAGAGGGAAAGCUAAGCAGCCUGUGGCUCAGGGGACUACCUUGCAACUGCUUGAAUGUAAAGCAGGCAGAGAAAUCCUCCUGGGAACCUGAGGCCAGGUGUAUGAGUGGGAUUUAAGAGAGGCCAGCGCCCCUUCCGGGGUGGCCCCAGCCCAGGAGGAGGGCGUGAGAGGCACACCUGGGAAGUGUCAGAGCCUGACAGGCGUGAGCUGGAGGCCUGGCAGGAGAGUGCUCUCACCACCUGACCAUCCUGGAAAGCUGUCAAAGUCCCAGUGCCCAUGCCACACCCCACAACAAUCCAAUCAAACUCUUUGGAGGUAGGACCCAGGCGUCUCUGAUUUUUAAAAUUUCCAGGUAAUUAAAAUAUUCAGCCAUGCUUGAGAACCAGUGCUUUAAAGAGAUAUCUGAUGCAUCCCAGGCUCAUCAAACAAAACAAGUAGGGCUCUUCCUGAGUGAUUCAUCAAGCUACCUUCUCUCUAGAGGCCCUCUUCACUACUCUAGUCUCUCCAAAUCCCUGCCAUUCCUCCACAUCCAUCUCCAUUGCCACCUCCUGAUGGGAGCCCUCCAUGGCUGCCCCAGCUGCAGUGAGUGCCUUUCUUCAAGGGCCCCUGUCACUGAGGACCUGCAUAGCCAUACAUAGCCAUCAGCUGACAGGUGUUUGCCCGUCCAUUUGAGCAAUCCAUUCCUGUGGGGGCAGGUACUAUGUUGUCCAUCAUGCUUUCUCACAACCUGCUGACCUACCACCUACCACAAUUCACUGCCCACAUUAUAUGCUCAAUUAGUGUUUUCUGGCUGACUUACAUCCUAGUGCAUUUCAACAUUUCAAGCAAUCUUGGUAAGAGAGUUGAAAGAAUGUCUGAUUCAAAUUAGUGGUUUUGUUGGUGAUCAGUGAUUGUGGUGAUAGAGAUGUAUAUGAUAGGAAUGGUAUAGGAAGAAUGGCCAAGAAAUGCCUCUCAGGCUGUCUCCCAAGAUGGUAUGUAUAACCCAUAUAGCCCAAUCCUCAGGUGGUCCAGUCCCUGCACUGAACAUCUUCAAAGAUGUGGUAGUUCCACAGGGCAGUAGGCAAUGACAGGUAUUUUCUAAUUAAAAGCACUUCAAAUAUUUACUACAGUCUCUUGAGGAAACUUAAAUGUGGCAAACCAAACACAUGCAUUUAUAUCUACUGAGGAGCCUUGAGGGGUGAGGAGAAACAAAAAUGUAUUCCAGCCAGUGAGACCAGCAGUGAUGGGGACAGAGGGACACAAAGCCCUCCCCGGUUCUCAGAAUGGCAAGAGGUCUUGUGAGUGUGGAGUGUAGGGAGGAAUGGUUAAAAGAGACUGAGAAGGAGCCAGUAUACAAAUGGGCUUGAGUCAUGAGCCAAGGGGGUAGAUUCCAGGUUUUACCAUCCAAAGCCUACAACUAACAAGUGGUGUGAUCAGAUCACUCUGGCAACAUGCAGAGGGCAGGACACCGUCAGGCCACUAGAGCAGCGGUGGGGAGAAAGGGCCAGGCAGAAAAGGGCUGGGAGAUGUGGCCCAGCCACUAUCAGGUCCACCUGCGGUUGCCGAAGAAGAUGCUUCUAUGCCCCGUUCCCUGUGUGGUGUGUUCUCAGGCCUGGGGCUGGCAUUGAAGGUGCUCCUACACACCUUACCCAAGACUUGCUUCCACCCAGUGCUAACUGGCCACUCCAUGCCACUGCUCCAGGCUCUGAGCGGAGGUCAGAUAGCCCCCCAGUUGCUGGGAGGGCCAACCUCAGCUGCCUUCACACACAGCCCAACAUUUUCACCUUAUGUACAAGCCAAAGGAUAUGUAUAGUCACCACCAGAUAGAAAACAAGCAAAUCUUUAGGCUCAGACAAUAUGAAAUAUAUAUCAGCGACUUAAAAAAAUGUAUGCCAAUUUUUACCAAAAGAAUUUCAGAGUCUGGGCUGCUUGGGUUUUCCAGGAAGCUGAUGUUGAGAUAGGGUUAGGAAUGCAAGGUUAAAGAGGGUGAGGGUAACGCCUGGGAAUGAAAUGGGGCAAAAGUAAGAGUGGAGUUCUCAGACCUGCAGGCCUGACUUUCUGCCAGUCAUCCAGUGAACUAAAACAAAAACAGCCCAUUAGAGGACUCCUGUGUUGGAAAUGUGGAAACGAUGGAAUGGCUGGGCCCUCAUACCACCAUCUUGCUCAGUCAUUGGACAGGGACACCCAAAGAAAAUCAUAAACUUGGUCCAAAAGCUGAGUAGACCCUGUAGGAGCCAACAGUGGUAGGCUGCCAGCUGAGCACAGCCUUGAAGCAGGGCAGUUUUUUUUUGUUUGUUUGUUUGUUUGAGACCAAGUCUCGCUCUGUCUCCCAAGCUGGAGUGCAGUGGCACGAUCUCGGCUCACCGCAACCUCUGCCUCCUGGGUUCAAGCGAUU